rnacentral:lncRNA from 1 species
GCUCCACUCAAAAAAAAGAAAGUCCUAAUGCAAGUAAUUGAAAGUGAAGAUAUUGCAAAACAAAUAAUGACAGCUGAAUUGAUGAUAUGAUGACAGGCUCAUCCCUCCAUUGUAAACUAUGCUGCGUAAGAUAUGCCUGCUUCCUGUUUGCCUUAUGCCAUGAUUGUAAGUUUCCUGAGGCCUCCCCAGCCAUGCUUCUAUACAGCCUGUGGAACCAUGGGUCGAUUAAACCUCUUUUCAUUACAAAUUA